AGAUGAUGGAGAUAUAUGGAGGUUCACUCUUUCUUCCUGUACCCAAACAAUGGAAAACAAAUCCUCUUCUUAUUGCUCUGGGUGCUACUGAAGUGGAACUCGACAGGCACCAGAAUUGUCUCAAGCCAAAGGCAGUAAUCAUAAAAAUCUAUGAAGGGAAACGAGUGUUAAAUACUUAAGCUAGCACUACCAAUCUGAUUCAUCAAAUCAAAAGCCAUCACAAGGAAGAAGCUAGAUGAUGGAAAUCAAGACAGGUGAGUCAGUUAGUGGAAACAUGCUCUACCAAACUGAUUCAGGGAAAUCUCAAAAGGCAAAAGCUAGAUGAUGCAAAAUCAAGACAGGUGAUGAUCAGAAGAGGACGUUGUUUUCAUGGCAUUUCUUCAACUCUCAUAUGAUUUGACGAGAAACUCCACAACGAGAAAAAGAUUAUGUGAAACAGCUUUCUA